rnacentral:rRNA from 1 species
UACGUAGGGUGCGAGCGUUAAUCGGAAUUACUGGGCGUAAAGGGUGCGUAGGCGGCGCGGUAAGUCGGGUGUGAAAUCUCGGGGCUUAACUCCGAAACUGCAUUCGAUACUGCCGUGCUUGAGGACUGGAGAGGAGACUGGAAUUUACGGUGUAGCAGUGAAAUGCGUAGAUAUCGUAAGGAAGACCAGUGGCGAAGGCGGUCUCUGGACAGUUCCUGACGCUGAGGCACGAAGGUCAGGGGAGCAAACGGG